GUGAAUGUAGUUUAAUAAAACCCUAGAUUGUGAUUCUAGAAAUGAAAAUUAAUUUUUUCCAUUCACC
rnacentral:tRNA from 1 species